UACGAGGGUGCAAGCGUUGCUCGGAAUUAUUGGGCGUAAAGGGUAGGUAAGGUGGUCUCAUUUGGUCUUGGGGUGAAAGCCUUGAGCUUAAACUCCGAAGAAGUGCCCCCAGGAAAACGGUGGAGACUAGAGUCCUGGAAGAGGGGUCGUGGAAUUCCCGGUGGUAGCGGGUGAAAUGCGUAGAUAUCGGGAGGAACACCGGUGG
rnacentral:rRNA from 1 species